ACGGUUGGUGGCGCACUUCCUGACUUCGGGCAGUGUACUUGUGCAUACUAACCGCACCCAGAUACCCGGCCCGCCUGCAAGCGGGCUUUUUUUU
rnacentral:sRNA from 1 species